UACGAAGGGGGCUAGCGUUGUUCGGAAUUACUGGGCGUAAAGCGCGCGCAGGCGGUCUUCCAAGUCAGUGGUGAAAGCCCUGGGCUCAACCCAGGAAGUGCACUCGAUACUGCCUAGCUAGAGUCCCGGAGAGGUUGGUGGAACUCUCGGUGUAGAGGUGAAAUUCGUAGAUAUCGAGAAGAACACCGGUGGCGAAGGCGGCCAACUGGACGGUGACUGACACUGAGACGCGAAAGCGUGGGGAGCAAACAGG
rnacentral:rRNA from 1 species